GUGAUUUUUAGAGGGAAUCCAUUCUAAAUAACACAUUUUCUUCUUGGACGCGAGAUCCGUUUUAUUUCGGGGCAUACCAUACUCUUUAUGACACAUUAAUUAUUAUUUCUAUAACUGAUGCAUUGCAUCUAUAUGUAUUGACCGAAAAGAAGUCAAACUGAAGCAAGAUAGAGUCCUCUUUAACUUUACCUACCGAUUGAGGUCAAAUUUGAUGUGGGUUGCAUUAGUUUUCUUGAAAAUUUAAGCGUCAAUGUUACAAUUCUGGUAUGUUUGUUUGUUUGGGAUUCAUUAUUGAGCCUAAAGUCAUAAACUAAAGUUGGUUAUGUAAGUUUUGUCAAAGCUAAACGCUCUAAUUAGUUGGUUUGAGCCCAAAAGGUCAAAAUAUCUUCAUGAUAUAUAAUGUUACUUGAAAUUUUUACAAUGUUAUGUGCAUAUCUUAUGAAAAACUUAUGGAAACUUACCUGGUAAUUGUGAUCUUCAGGUAUGUUGGGAAUUGCUUCGGGAAGUUUGUACGUUGAAAAACCUUUGUUACACAAUCACCGGCAUAUACCGAUGAAUGUGGAUGACUAUUCAUGAGUAUGUCGAGUCCUAGAAAGAAAGGUCAACAUGAUUAUAUAAAUCACUAAGUUAUGUACACUUUUAACUUUGAUUUUUACUGUUUUACUCCAAAUUUUCGUCAAUUUUCGGCAGCGAAUUUUAGAGAUGAUGAUAAUUGUGAGCAGCACAUCUGAGCCGGAGCUGCUGCUAUUUGUAAGACAUUAAGUUGUUUGGCAUGAAUAAAAUAGAAACCACCAAAACCCCAAUAAAUCAUUUUGAUUUGUGAAUCCAGUAUUACAAAGUAAUUUAAGAGAUCCCCUUUUGCAACGUUGGAUUGAUGAUGGCGUCCAUAUCUGUCAAAGUGCACUUGUGUUCGUUAUUUAAGAAAGACUUUUCUAAUUUGAUGGUCAUCCGGUACGCUCAACUCUUUUUAUUGCGAAUGAGUCAUUUUGGUUUGGGUAUAAUCUCAAACGGGUCAAA